UACAGAGGCCUCGAGCGUUAGGCGGAAUCACUGGGCUUAAAGCGUGUGUAGGCGGACUUCUAAGUACCUUGUGAAAUCCCACGGCUUACCCGUGGAACGGCUGGAUAUACUGGGAGUCUUGAGCCACCUAGGGGCGAGUGGAACAAAUGGUGGAGCGGUGAAAUGCGUAGAUAUCAUUUGGAACGCCAAUGGUGAAAACAACUCGCUGGGGGUGUGCUGACGCUGAGACACGAAAGCCAGGGGAGCGAACGGG
rnacentral:rRNA from 1 species